rnacentral:ncRNA from 3 species
GCUGCUUGGACUACAUAUGGUUGAGGGUUGUA